rnacentral:rRNA from 1 species
GGUUAAGCGACUAAGCGUACACGGUGGAUGCCCUGGCAGUCAGAGGCGAUGAAGGACGUGCUAAUCUGCGAUAAGCGUCGGUAAGGUGAUAUGAACCGUUAUAACCGGCGAUUUCCGAAUGGGGAAACCCAGUGUGUUUCGACACACUAUCAUUAACUGAAUCCAUAGGUUAAUGAGGCGAACCGGGGGAACUGAAACAUCUAAGUACCCCGAGGAAAAGAAAUCAACCGAGAUUCCCCCAGUAGCGGCGAGCGAACGGGGAACAGCCCAGAGCCUGAAUCAGUGUGUGUGUUAGUGGAAGCGUCUGGAAAGGCGCGCGAUACAGGGUGACAGCCCCGUACACAAAAAUGCACAUGCUGUGAGCUCGAUGAGUAGGGCGGGACACGUGGUAUCCUGUCUGAAUAUGGGGGGACCAUCCUCCAAGGCUAAAUACUCCUGACUGACCGAUAGUGAACCAGUACCGUGAGGGAAAGGCGAAAAGAACCCCGGCGAGGGGAGUGAAAAAGAACCUGAAACCGUGUACGUACAAGCAGUGGGAGCACGCUUAGGCGUGUGACUGCGUACCUUUUGUAUAAUGGGUCAGCGACUUAUAUUCUGUAGCAAGGUUAACCGAAUAGGGGAGCCGAAGGGAAACCGAGUCUUAACUGGGCGUUAAGUUGCAGGGUAUAGACCCGAAACCCGGUGAUCUAGCCAUGGGCAGGUUGAAGGUUGGGUAACACUAACUGGAGGACCGAACCGACUAAUGUUGAAAAAUUAGCGGAUGACUUGUGGCUGGGGGUGAAAGGCCAAUCAAACCGGGAGAUAGCUGGUUCUCCCCGAAAGCUAUUUAGGUAGCGCCUCGUGAAUUCAUCUCCGGGGGUAGAGCACUGUUUCGGCAAGGGGGUCAUCCCGACUUACCAACCCGAUGCAAACUGCGAAUACCGGAGAAUGUUAUCACGGGAGACACACGGCGGGUGCUAACGUCCGUCGUGAAGAGGGAAACAACCCAGACCGCCAGCUAAGGUCCCAAAGUCAUGGUUAAGUGGGAAACGAUGUGGGAAGGCCCAGACAGCCAGGAUGUUGGCUUAGAAGCAGCCAUCAUUUAAAGAAAGCGUAAUAGCUCACUGGUCGAGUCGGCCUGCGCGGAAGAUGUAACGGGGCUAAACCAUGCACCGAAGCUGCGGCAGCGACACUAUGUGUUGUUGGGUAGGGGAGCGUUCUGUAAGCCUGUGAAGGUGUGCUGUGAGGCAUGCUGGAGGUAUCAGAAGUGCGAAUGCUGACAUAAGUAACGAUAAAGCGGGUGAAAAGCCCGCUCGCCGGAAGACCAAGGGUUCCUGUCCAACGUUAAUCGGGGCAGGGUGAGUCGACCCCUAAGGCGAGGCCGAAAGGCGUAGUCGAUGGGAAACAGGUUAAUAUUCCUGUACUUGGUGUUACUGCGAAGGGGGGACGGAGAAGGCUAUGUUGGCCGGGCGACGGUUGUCCCGGUUUAAGCGUGUAGGCUGGUUUUCCAGGCAAAUCCGGAAAAUCAAGGCUGAGGCGUGAUGACGAGGCACUACGGUGCUGAAGCAACAAAUGCCCUGCUUCCAGGAAAAGCCUCUAAGCAUCAGGUAACAUCAAAUCGUACCCCAAACCGACACAGGUGGUCAGGUAGAGAAUACCAAGGCGCUUGAGAGAACUCGGGUGAAGGAACUAGGCAAAAUGGUGCCGUAACUUCGGGAGAAGGCACGCUGAUAUGUAGGUGAAGUCCCUCGCGGAUGGAGCUGAAAUCAGUCGAAGAUACCAGCUGGCUGCAACUGUUUAUUAAAAACACAGCACUGUGCAAACACGAAAGUGGACGUAUACGGUGUGACGCCUGCCCGGUGCCGGAAGGUUAAUUGAUGGGGUUAGCCGCAAGGCGAAGCUCUUGAUCGAAGCCCCGGUAAACGGCGGCCGUAACUAUAACGGUCCUAAGGUAGCGAAAUUCCUUGUCGGGUAAGUUCCGACCUGCACGAAUGGCGUAAUGAUGGCCAGGCUGUCUCCACCCGAGACUCAGUGAAAUUGAACUCGCUGUGAAGAUGCAGUGUACCCGCGGCAAGACGGAAAGACCCCGUGAACCUUUACUAUAGCUUGACACUGAACAUUGAGCCUUGAUGUGUAGGAUAGGUGGGAGGCUUUGAAGUGUGGACGCCAGUCUGCAUGGAGCCGACCUUGAAAUACCACCCUUUAAUGUUUGAUGUUCUAACGUUGACCCGUAAUCCGGGUUGCGGACAGUGUCUGGUGGGUAGUUUGACUGGGGCGGUCUCCUCCUAAAGAGUAACGGAGGAGCACGAAGGUUGGCUAAUCCUGGUCGGACAUCAGGAGGUUAGUGCAAUGGCAUAAGCCAGCUUGACUGCGAGCGUGACGGCGCGAGCAGGUGCGAAAGCAGGUCAUAGUGAUCCGGUGGUUCUGAAUGGAAGGGCCAUCGCUCAACGGAUAAAAGGUACUCCGGGGAUAACAGGCUGAUACCGCCCAAGAGUUCAUAUCGACGGCGGUGUUUGGCACCUCGAUGUCGGCUCAUCACAUCCUGGGGCUGAAGUAGGUCCCAAGGGUAUGGCUGUUCGCCAUUUAAAGUGGUACGCGAGCUGGGUUUAGAACGUCGUGAGACAGUUCGGUCCCUAUCUGCCGUGGGCGCUGGAGAACUGAGGGGGGCUGCUCCUAGUACGAGAGGACCGGAGUGGACGCAUCACUGGUGUUCGGGUUGUCAUGCCAAUGGCACUGCCCGGUAGCUAAAUGCGGAAGAGAUAAGUGCUGAAAGCAUCUAAGCACGAAACUUGCCCCGAGAUGAGUUCUCCCUGACCCUUUAAGGGUCCUGAAGGAACGUUGAAGACGACGACGUUGAUAGGCCGGGUGUGUAAGCGCAGCGAUGCGUUGAGCUAACCGGUACUAAUGAACCGUGAGGCUUAACCUU